rnacentral:rRNA from 1 species
AGCUCCAAUAGCGUAUAUUAAAGUUGUUGCGGUUAAAAGCUCGUAGUUGGAUUUCUGUCAGUGAGUUGCAGUCCGCCCACAGCGGUUGGUACUUGCUACGCCACUGACAUCUUCCUGGGGAAUGUGUCUGCUCUUUAUUGGGUGGCGCACAAUCCAGGACUUUUACUUUGAAGAAAUGAGAGUGUUUCAAGCAGGCAUGCGCCGUGAAUACGUUAGCAUGGGAUAAUAGCAUCGGACCUCGUUCCAAAGCUGUUGGUUUCUUGGACCGAGGUAAAGGUGAA